AAUUAUUAAUCAAUCGUUGCAAGAAGGGAAAGACUUCCAGAGUAAAGGUGAAAUGCCCUCACACGACUGGAAGAUGAGGUGCUGCUAGGACAUUAGAGAAAAUGCGAAAAGAAAAUCCAAAUACUAUCAUCACCAGGACUGACUUGUUUGUUGCCACUCAUAGCAGACCUGAUGGGUCUUACCCAACACAAACACGUCUUAAAACAGCGGAAAGAAUAUUAUCGAUAGCUGGCAGUGAUCCUUCCAGUAAGCACAAGGAUUUAGACCACAACCCAGUUUCACAGGUUUGUGGUCGUGAUAGCAGAGGCCGGGUUAGGGGGAUGACUUUUGGUAUUUCUAAGACUAUUAUGAAGGUUGCCACCACC